CCUACGGGCGGCAGCAGUGGGGAAUAUUGCACAAUGGGCGCAAGCCUGAUGCAGCCAUGCCGCGUGUGUGAAGAAGGCCUUCGGGUUGUAAAGCACUUUCAGCGGGGAGGAAGGCGGUGAGGUUAAUAACCUUGUCGAUUGACGUUACCCGCAGAAGAAGCACCGGCUAACUCCGUGCCAGCAGCCGCGGUAAUACGGAGGGUGCAAGCGUUAAUCGGAAUUACUGGGCGUAAAGCGCACGCAGGCGGUCUGUCAAGUCGGAUGUGAAAUCCCCGGGCUCAACCUGGGAGCUGCAUUCGAAACUGGCAGGCUAGAGUCUUGUAGAGGGGGGUAGAAUUCCAGGUGUAGCGGUGAAAUGCGGAGAGAUCUGGAGGAAUACCGGUGGCGAAGGCGGCCCCCUGGACAAAGACUGACGCUCAGGUGCGAAAGCGUGGGGAGCAAACAGGAUUAGAUACCCGGGUAGUC
rnacentral:rRNA from 1 species